UGAUCCUGGCUCAGAACGUACGCUGGCGGCACGCCUAACACAUGCAAGUCGAACGAAGUAGCAAUACUUAGUGGCAGACGGGUGAGUAACAUGUAGGUAUCUGCCCUUUGGCCUGGAAUAACACGAGGAAACUUGUGCUAAUACCGGAUAAGUCUUUACGGAGAAAGCUUUAUGCACCAUUGGAUGAGCCUGCACUUGAUUAGUUUGUUGGUGGGGUAAUGGCCUACCAAGACUGUGAUCAAUAGCUGAUUUGAGAGGAUGAUCAGCCACAUUGGGACUGAGACACGGCCCAAACUCCUACGGGAGGCAGCAGUGGGGAAUCUUGCACAAUGGAGGAAACUCUGAUGCAGCGAUGCCGCGUGAGUGAAGAAGGCCCUUGGGUUGUAAAGCUCUUUCGUCGGGGAAGAAAAUGACUGUACCCGAAUAAGAAGGUCCGGCUAACUUCGUGCCAGCAGCUGCGGUAAUACGAAGGGACCUAGCGUAGUUCGGAAUUACUGGGCUUAAAGAGUUCGUAGGUGGUUGAAAAAGUUAGUGGUGAAAUCCCAGAGCUUAACUCUGGAACUGCCAUUAAAACUUUUCAGCUAGAGUAUGAUAGAGGAAAGCAGAAUUUCUAGUGUAGAGGUGAAAUUCGUAGAUAUUAGAAAGAAUACCAAUUGCGAAGGCAGCUUUCUGGAUCAUUACUGACACUGAGGAACGAAAGCAUGGGUAGCGAAGAGGAUUAGAUACCCUCGUAGUCCAUGCCGUAAACGAUGUGUGUUAGACGUUGGAAAUUUAUUUUCAGUGUCGCAGGGAAACCGAUAAACACACCGCCUGGGGAGUACGACCGCAAGGUUAAAACUCAAAUGAAUUGACGGGGACCCGCACAAGUAGUGGAGCAUGUGGUUUAAUUCGAAGAUACGCGCAGAACCUUACCAACACUUGACAUGUUCGUCGCGACUCUAAGAGAUUAGAGUUUUCGGUUCGGCCGGACGAAACACAGGUGCUGCAUGGCUGUCGUCAGCUCGUGUCGUGAGAUGUUGGGUUAAGUCCCGCAACGAGCGCAACCCUCACUUUUAGUUGCCAUCAUUAAGUUGGGCACUCUGAAAGAACUGCCAGUGAUAAGCUGGAGGAAGGUGGGGAUGACGUCAAGUCCUCAUGGCCCUUACGUGUUGGGCUACACACGUGCUACAAUGGUAUCUACAACAGGAAGCAAGACUGCGAAGUUAAGCAAAUCCCUAAAAGAUACCUCAGUUCGGAUUGCACUCUGCAACUCGAGUGCAUGAAGCUGGAAUUACUAGUAAUCGUGGAUCAGCGUGCCACGGUGAAUGCGUUCCCGGGUCUUGUACACACCGCCCGUCACACCAUGGGAGUUGGUUCUACCUUAAGGCAAGGUUUAAUACCCUUGACCACGGUAUAGUCAGCGACUGGGGUGAAGUCGUAACAAGGUAACC
rnacentral:rRNA from 1 species